CUGCAGAAAACACAGGCACUGGGAUUGAGCAGGAAACCACAGCAGGGCUGAGCUGUGGAUCAUCCCAGGAGAUGGAGAGCUCUGUGCCGAGGCUCUGGGGUGUGCAGCUGUGCCCCCAGGCUGCACACUCGCAGGGAGGGGAGCACACGCUGGGGGCUCUGCCCUGCAUCAGGAGCCUGGGAUGAGCUGGAGCAGGGUAUUUUUAGCUGCUGUCCUGCUGGCUCAGGCACUGCUGAUGUUAUGGGGUUUGGCAAGGCAGAGAGCUGUGGGGUUAUUUGAGUUUCAAGGGAUCUCUGCUCUGUGAGGUUCCUGCUGUGCUGGAGAGGCUGGGAGCUGUGGGAGCUGCUCAUUCAGAAUUUGUUGUGGUUCUUGGAGCUUCUCCCACCUCCUGAGGCGAUGCUGGAGGGCAGGAGCCCUGUCAGGGAUCCCUGAGCCACAGGAUGCUCAGGAAGCAGCAGGAGAAGCAUCCCCUUAUCCCUGGGCACAUCCCUGAAAACCUGAACCCAGAGACAGCCUGGAUGCCACCAGUCGUUCAGGUCAUUAUGGAGAGGAUCCUUCUUUUCAAAUCUUCUGCAGGAAAGGAGUCUCCUGUAAAGAGGCUGCAGGAUCCUUGUUUAUUUAAGUGGCAGAGGAGAGAAAACAGCAGCGAGCUGAAGGAGCAGGGGAGCAGAUGGGAAGCACUCUGCAUUUUGGAGAAGGAAAGGUGUGUCCUCUCGCCUCCUCCACACGAUGAGUGCCGUUCCAGAUGCAGCCACUUAUUUCCUGCAGGUACUUGAGGUCUGGUGUCACAAAUCCAAGCUGGCAUUUUACCCUUCUGCAGAAAUGCCAGGAGCUGAGCUGUGUCCCUCCCAAAUGCUGCCUGGCCACGAGGAGAUGGAGUCACCCUGAGUGCUGGGGUGGAGAUUUGCUCAUCAUUCUCAGCUCCUCACACCACUGAUCAGCCCAGUAUUGCCUUUUAUCUUUUUUUUUUUUUUUUUUUUUUUUUUUUUUUUUUUUUGUUUAAAAGGGGAUCUGAUGAAUGCUCAGAACUGCCUGCACAGAAAAAUCAGGUUUAGAAAUUCGACAUUGAGACGGUAUUUCUUGUUCGGACUUAGAUGUUUAUUAAUUUUUAUUUAUAUUACAGUGAGUUCUACAACACUUUUAGCUAACAAGCUAAAAAUGGAGACCUAUUUCUCUCUUUACAAGGCCUUUUAAGGCCAAACUGUCCAAUUAAGAACAGACACCUAAAUUAUUUUUACUUUUAAUAACCAAUCACUCAUGGCUCACAAUGAGGAUUUUUUAAUCCAAUUUCAAAAGAUCACUCAAACCCCUGAAGAAGAAGGUGAAGAAGAAAUACAAAACUUCUCCCCCAAAACCUCCAUUUGUUCUCCAUAUAUUGCCAUAUUCUAAAACCUCAAAUUCUAAAUUCCCUGCCAUGUGACACUACACACUUCUAUUCAAGCUACACACCCGUGAUCUUAGUUCUGUCAUUCAAUUUUGGAAGCUUUUUCCACAGCCUCAGGUCAAAAGCAGUGUUUUCCUGGGGAUCAGUGCCUGUCAGCACAGAAAGUCUAAAAUUUUCACUUUCCUGGGUUCCAACAGCCCAGGCAGGUUUGUAGGGAUAAAGAGAAAUCCUCCAGGCAGCUGCUUUCCACCCACCUGAGCUCUUUUCUGGGCCGAGGUCACUCUGGAUUGCACAAAACCUGCUCAGGGAUGAGAAUCCCCCCUUUGUGUCCAGCCUGUGAUUUCUGGUAUUUCUGACCUUGCAGUUGUGGGUGCACAGCUUUGUGUCCCAAAAGCUCCCCGCGUUCCUCCUGACCCUGCCUGUGCUGCCAGAGCUGGGUUUUCCCCACGCUGCUCCUUUCCCCAUUCCCAGCUGGCACAGUGCUGGUGGUGUGACAUCCCAAGGACCUGGGGAGCAGAAACAAAUGGGUUUGUGCUGGGAUUCUUUAGGGGAAAGAAAAUAUGCAAACUUGCUUUAACCAGGUAAUCCCAACAGGAAGUAUUGGAUAUGUUUGCCUUGUCUUUCCUUAGCCUUA
ensembl:lncRNA